rnacentral:rRNA from 1 species
UACAGAGGUCUCAAGCGUUGUUCGGAUUCAUUGGGCGUAAAGGGUGCGUAGGUGGUUUGGUAAGUUGAAGGUGAAAUCUCGGAGCUUAACUACGAAACUGCCUUCAAUACUGCCGGACUUGAGGACUGUAGAGGAGAAUGGAAUUCACGGUGUAGCAGUGAAAUGCGUAGAUAUCGUGAGGAAGACCAGUGGCGAAGGCGAUUCUCUGGGCAGUUCCUGACACUGAGGCACGAAGGCUAGGGGAGCAAACGGG